rnacentral:rRNA from 1 species
UGGGGAAUAUUGCACAAUGGGGGAAACCCUGAUGCAGCGACGCCGCGUGAGCGAAGAAGGUUUUCGAAUCGUAAAGCUCUGUCCUAUGAGAAGAUAAUGACGGUAUCAUAGGAGGAAGCCCCGGCUAAUACGUGCCAGCAGCCGCGGUAAUACGUAUGGGGCGAGCGUUGUCCGGAAUCAUUGGGCGUAAAGGGUACGUAGGCGGUCUAUUAAGUCAGGUGUGAAAGCGUGAGGCUUAACCUCAUUAAGCACUUGAAACUGAUAGACUUGAGUGAAGGAGAGGAAAGUGGAAUUCCUAGUGUAGCGGUGAAAUGCAUAGAUAUUAGGAGGAAUACCGGUGGCGAAGGCGACUUUCUAAACUUUUACUGACGCUCAGGUACGAAAGCGUGGGGAGCAAACAGG